AGGAGAGGAAGUGUGGCUGAAGGGCUGGGUAAUGAAGACACCCUCAAGCUACUGGAAAGGAAGCCCUAAGCCCUGCAAACUCAGCCUGGAUUUGAAAGUCGAGUUGGGUUCUCUCUGUCUUGUGUGUUGUCACCACCAGGUCAUCUCUGCCUCAUUACAUCUACCCAGCCCCAUCAUCUCCUGAGCAGUUUGGAACUAAGUGAGCAAUUCUGUUGAUGUACAAGCCAGCAUAGAAUCUAGCUCGCUCUCUCAGAGAUAGUUGGUUCUGAGCUUCAGGAGCCGCUACCUCAGAACAUUAAUUUGUAUGCAGUGUAAUUUGAUGCUCAUUCACCCCAGAUGAAGAUCUACUCCAAUGACUCUGAAUGCACCCAGAGAGCAUUGCUGUAAAGUGGCAGGGACCCUAAAACAGAACGUCUCCUGGAUUUCUGUUCCUCUUGGAAGGUGGUAUCCCCCAACCAUCUCACCCGGCAAGCUGCCUCUGAUGUGUUGGCUGUGAUUAUGAAAUGGAGGUUUUGGGGAGGUACUGUACAAAUGGGCCCUUCCCUGCGCUGUGCACAAAUUUCUGCAGCAUCUCUGGCAAUCAACUUGGAACACUGAUCUCCCUGCAAUGGUGAGACUAUGCCAAUAUUCUGAUAUUAGGCUGCCUGCUACUGCCAUCCUGGCUGAACUCCCUCCCAGCGUCACGUCAAGCAUGUCUAGAUCGGGUGCAGGUUCGUGUCUUCACCUGGGUUAAAUACCAACCAACUUAAUGUGUGCAGAUGAGCCCAGAGACCAGGCCCUCCUGCAUCCAAGGAACAGCGUUUAGAAUUCGCUCAUUUCAACAGCCAUUCUGCAGUCAGCUGUGCUGUUCAGUGUGUCACAGAUGGUCCUGCAGCCCCCAUUGCUUGAGGCUUGGCUGCCAGCAGUGAUAUAUCCGUUGUGCUCUGAGAGCUUGAAGGUGAAGAGGUGGCAUGAGUCCUUUUGCCUGCUGCCUUCCUGUACGGGGCUCAGGAAGGAGCUGGAGCUCUUCCACUCCUGGAACGUGUACAUUUCCAUGUGAGGAACCAGCAUAAAGUCUAGAUGAACUCAAGAUAUUAAGGACCAGUAGGAUUAAUGAAGGAACUGAAGAGCACAUGUUGUUGUUAUGCAAGUCCUACAUAAACUUUGGCUCUUUCCCCACAAGAGAAUGGAAUAUAUAUAUUUAAUAUUGGAAACAUUUAGAAUCUAGAAGAAAUUUCUCCACUAGAUUUUAAUGUUUUGGGGCAGGACAAAAUUUGAACAUAAUCCAUUUGACAGUGUCUUUUUCUUUAAAUAAUAAGUAAUAGUUGAAGAAGAAGGAAAGGUUGCUGGAAAGACUUUGCCUAUGGGUAAGUAAAGCAAGAGGAGUUCCACAGAAGAAAUGAGUGGCUAUACAUAUGGGGAAAGAUAAAUGGGAUGCGACUGUAUGUGCUGUCUUGCAUAUAAACAGAAUACAAUACAACACAACAUACUGACAUACAAAGAUCAAAGUCUAAAACAAAGCCGUGGAAAAGGUUAAAACAAAAGUCAAGUCAUGAAAAAGUGGGUAAUACUUGAAAGAGCUAAUGGAAAUGUGUACAGUAUAAGUUAAGAAAAGAAGGUAACAGGCAUGUCUCUCUCACACACUUUCAGGAUAAUCAAGUUUUCAGAUAUAUACUGAUGAAAAUCUCCAGUCAGUCAGUUUGAGUUUUUGUAUGCAAAAGGGCAACUUCACAAGGGUGAAGAGAAUUACUUCCUAACAUCCCAGGCUGAGCGAGGUCGCAUGUGCUCAGUUCUUACUCUUGAAAUGUCACUGAGCCUUGGCAGAUAAUUUAAAAAAAACCUACAGAGCAACUACAGUACUGCAGUCCAUCCAUAACUGAGUGCUUAGCAGCAAAGAUCUGAAGACAUAUCAGUUGGAAAGUGGUUUGGACUUAAAAAUGAUCUAUAUCUAGCAACAUUUGAAGGAGAGUUUUGCAUAUUUCUCUAUUGCUUUUUUAAAGGCGUAUGGAAACAAGAUUAAAGAUAGGUAUUUAAAA